UGGAUUUGAUAGAUCCUUUAGA
rnacentral:tRNA from 1 species